rnacentral:rRNA from 1 species
AUGUUACUUGACCAUGAUGAACCUACGAACUAUGAGAAAGCGAUGAUGAGCCCGGAUUCCGCAAAAUGGCUAGAAGCCAUGAAAUCUGAGAUGGGAUCCAUGUAUGAAAACAAAGUAUGGACUUUGGUUGACUUGCCCGAUGAUCGGCAAGCCAUUGAGAAUAAAUGGAUCUUUAAGAAGAAGACUGACGCUGAUGGUAAUAUAACUGUCUAUAAAGCUCGACUUGUUGCAAAAGGUUUUCGACAAGUUCAAGGGGUUGACUACGAUGAGACUUUCUCACCUGUAGCGAUGCUUAAGUCCGUCCAAAUCAUGUUAGCUAUUGCUGCAUUUCAUGAUUAUGAAAUUUGGCAAAUGGAUGUCAAGACUGCAUUCUUGAAUGGAUUUCUAGAAGAAGAGUUGUAUAUGAUGCAGCCGGAAGGUUUUGUUGAUCCAAAAGGUGCUGACAAAGUGUGCAAGCUCCAGCGUUCCAUUUAUGGACUGGUGCAAGCAUCUCGGAGUUGGAAUAAACACUUUGAUAGUGUGAUCAAAGCAUAUGGUUUUAUACAGACUUUUGGAGAAGCCUGUAUUUACAAGAAAGUGAGUGGGAGCCCUGUAGCAUUUCUAAUUUUAUAUGUAGAUGACAUAUUAUUAAUUGGAAAUGAUAUAGAAUUUCUGGAUAGCAUAAAAGGAUACUUGAAUAAAAGUUUUUCAAUGAAAGACCUCGGUGAAGCUACUUACAUAUUGGGCAUCAAGAUCUAUAGAGAUAGAUCAAGACGCUUAAUAGGACUUUCACAAAGCACAUACCUUGACAAAAUUUUGAAAAAGUUCAAAAUGGAUCAGGCAAAGAAAGGAUUCUUGCCCGUGCUACAAGUUGUGAAGUUGAGUCAAACUCAAUGCCCGACCACAGCAGAAGAUAGAGAGAAAAUGAAAAAUGUUCCCUAUGCUUCAGCCAUAGGCUCUAUCAUGUAUGCAAUGCUGUGUACCAGACCUGACGUAUGCUUAGCAAUAAGCUUGGCAGGAAGGUACCAAAGUAAUCCAGGAGUGGAUCACUGGACAGCGGUCAAGAACAUCCUGAAAUACCUGAAAAGGACUAAGGAUAUGUUUCUCGUAUAUGGAGGUGACAAAGAGCUAGUCGUAAACGGUUACGUCGAUGCAAGCUUUGACACUGAUCCGGACGAUUCUAAAUCGCAAACCGGAUACGUGUUUUUAUUAAACGGUGGAGCUGUAAGUUGGUGUAGUUCUAAACAAAGCGUCGUAGUGGGAUCUACAUGUGAAGCAGAGUACAUAGCUGCUUCGGAAGCAGCAAAUGAAGGAGUCUAG